UACGUAGGGAGCAAGCGUUGUCCGGAAUCAUUGGGCGUAAAGCGCGCGUAGGCGGCCCUGUAAGUCCGUUGUGAAAGUCAAAGGCUCAACCUUUGAAUGCCGGUGGAUACUGUCGGGCUAGAGUCCGGAAGAGGCGAGUGGAAUUCCUGGUGUAGCGGUGGAAUGCGCAGAUAUCAGGAGGAACACCAAUAGCGAAGGCAGCUCGCUGGGACGGUACUGACGCUGAGGCGCGAAAGCGUGGGGAGCGAACAGG
rnacentral:rRNA from 1 species